UCGGCGCUGGCUGGCUGGCUGGCUGGCUUGGCCCGGUGAGGCGGAACCAACCAGCCGCUCGACUCGGUCCCUGAUUAUAAACAUAAUCUUGUCUUCAGUUCAUCUAGCCUGGUGUUGGAUUCUGUACUACGCACAGCACGCAUUCCUGGGCUCAGCUGGUCCAAGGAACAGCGGAGCCUUGCCAUUCAGGGAAGCGAGGCAGAGUACCGAAGGUGCAGCGCGUCGUCGACGGCCUCCCUGCUUCUCUGAGACGGCGAGAGGAUGGCCGGCGGGUUUAUUGGCGGAGGCGGGGCGGCCGCCGGGAGGGCCGAGUUGUACGAGGGCAAGAUCACCGGCUACUUCAUCCUCGCCUGCAUCGUCGGCUCCUUCGGCGGCUCCCUCUUCGGCUAUGACCUCGGAGUCUCCAGCGGCGUGACUUCCAUGGACGACUUCCUCAGAAAGUUCUUCCCGGACGUGUACCGGCGGAAGCAGGCGCACCCACACGAGACGGACUACUGCAGGUACGACAGCCAGCUACUGACGCUCUUCACCUCCUCUCUCUACUUCGCGGGCCUGGUCUCUACGUUCGGCGCGUCCUACGUGACGAAGCGCCGCGGCCGGCGCGCCAGCAUCAUGGUGGGCGCCACCAGCUUCUUCCUGGGCGGCGCCAUCAACGCGGCCGCCGUGAACAUCGCCAUGCUCAUCGUCGGCCGCGUGCUCCUGGGCGUCGGCAUCGGCUUCGGCAACCAGGCCGUGCCGCUCUACCUGUCGGAGAUCGCGCCGUACCGCAUCCGGGGCGCCGUGAACCAGCUCUUCCAGCUCACCACCUGCCUCGGCAUCCUCGUCGCCGACAUCAUCAACUACUUCACGGACCGGCUGCACCCGUGGGGGUGGCGCCUCUCGCUGGGGCUCGCCAUGGGCCCCGCCACCGCCAUCUUCGUCGGCGCGCUGUUCCUGCCCGAGACCCCCAACAGCCUCGUGGAGCGCGGCCACCUGGAGGAGGCCCGCCGCGUGCUGGAGAAGGUGCGCGGCACGCGCAAGGUGGACGCCGAGUUCGAGGACCUCAAGGAGGCCAGCGAGGCCGCGCGCGCCGUCCCGGGCACGUUCAGGAACCUGCUCGCCCUGCGCAACCGCCCGCAGCUCGUCAUCGGCGCGCUCGGCAUCCCGGCGUUCCAGCAGCUGUCGGGGAUGAACUCCAUCCUCUUCUACUCGCCCGUCAUCUUCCGGAGCCUUGGGUUCGGCUCCUCCGCCGCGCUUUACUCCUCCAUCAUCACCGGCUCCAUGCUCGUGGUUGGCGCGCUCCUCUCCAUGGUCGCCGUGGACCGUCUCGGCCGCCGCUUCCUCUUCAUCGAGGCUGGCAUCCAGAUGAUCUCAUCCAUGGUGGUCAUCGCUGUGAUCCUUGCGCUCAAGUUCGGGAAAGGCGAGGAGCUGAGCAAGGGCGUGAGCACGGUGCUGGUGGUGGCCAUCUGCCUCUUCGUGGUGGCCUACGGCUGGUCCUGGGGGCCCCUGGGAUGGCUGGUGCCGAGCGAGCUGUUCCCGUUGGAGAUGCGGUCGGCGGGGCAGAGCGUGGUGGUGUGCGUCAACCUCUUCUGGACGGCGGCCGUAGCGCAGUGCUUCCUCGCCGCGCUGUGCCACCUCCGGUGGGGCGUCUUCAUGCUCUUCGCCUCGCUCAUCUUCGUCAUGUCCAUCUUCGUCAUCCUCCUGCUGCCGGAGACCAAGCAGGUGCCCAUCGAGGAGAUCUGGAUGCUCUUCGACAGGCACUGGUACUGGAAGCGCAUCGUCCGCCGGGACCCCAAGUACCAGCAGGGCAACCUCCAUCACCAGCAGCAGGAGAUGUCCUCCAGAGCAUGAACAUGACAAACAUGUAAUUUGCAGUCGUGCCCUUAUUAAAUAUGGUCUGUCGCAUACCAAAGCAAGCUAUCCUCCUUGUCUCGACUGGUUACCAGCGUCACAUGCUAGUCAUGCAUUGCAGGUUCGAAUCCUUUUUUUUUUGCCCUUUUCCCUGUUUUUGCAUGGCGGGUCACUUUCAUGUGCAUGGCGGGACAAUUUUUUUUUGCCCUUUUCCGUUCGCGCUCCCACAUUUUCAGCCACGCGCUCACAUUUUCGGCCACAGCGCUCCCGUAUCCGGCUAUUUAAGCAGUACGGCUGACAGCAAACAAUACAAACAAUUGUGUUGUACAAAGCCAAGAAGUAAAAUACGCGAUGGACGUAGAAGUUUUGGCAGCCUUAUUUGACUUGAAUAUGCAGCCACCUUCUGAAGACGGUUUAGGUUUUGACUUGAAUUUGGAGCCACCUGUUGAUGAAAUAGGCUUCGACUUGAACAUGCAUGCAAACGUGUUUGAAUAUGAUGAUGUACUCGACUUGACUUUGGAUGAACCAAACCCAUUUGACGGCAUUGUAAAACGGAAAGAUGCUCCUCAAGAGAUUAAAAAACAAGUGUACAUGGAACUGUUGCGAAGAAGUAGAAAUGGAUCAGUGCUACCAAAGAAUGCUACUAGAGAAGUUGCCGCAAUGUUUCUUUUACAUAUUCGAACUGUUCAACGAUUUUGGGCUGAAGGUAAACGUUCACGUCCGGAUGGCAAUGCGGUUAGUUUUGCUAGUAAAAAGAGAGGUAGAUGUGGUCGUAAGCCAAGUACAGUAAACUAUGAACAGCUGCGCAACGUUCCUCUUAAAGAUAGAACCACCCUAGAAGAUGCAUGCAAAGUUCUUGGCGUUUGCAAAAAAACACUAUUGAAGCAUGUAAAGGAAGGAAAGAUUAGGAGGCACACAAGUAGUAUUAAACCAUAUCUAACCGAUGAGAACAAGAAGGCAAGACUACAAUGGUGUGUUGACAUGCUUGAACCCGAGAGCUUGCAUGAUGCUCCAAGAUUUAAGACUCUUUUUGACCAUGUUUUUAUUGAUGAGAAAUGGUUCUUUCUAACUCGUAAAUCUGAGAGGUACUACUUGCUUCCUGAUGAAGAUGAUCCUCAUCGUACUUGUAAGAGCAAGAACAACAUCCCUAAGCUUAUGUUCUUAUGUGCCACAUCUCGUCCAAGAUUUGAGAAUGGAGUUUGCACUUUUGAUGGUAAGAUUGGGUGUUUUCCGUUGGUUACAUUUGAACGUGCUAAGAGAAGUAGUGUUAACCGACCAGCUGGAACAAUGGAAGUGAAACCCAUCACUUCAAUUAAGAGAGAUGUCAUUAGAGAGUUCCUGAUCGAGAAGGUUUUACCGGCUAUUAGAGCUAAGUGGCCACGUGAUGAGCUAAAUAAACCAAUCUACAUUCAACAAGACAACGCACCCUCUCAUGUUCAAGUUAACGAUCCACUGUUUUGUGAAGCUGCACAACAAGAUGGUUUCGACAUUCGUCUAAUUUGUCAACCUGCUAAUUCUCCGGAUUUUAAUAUCUUGGAUUUGGGUUUUUUUCGAGCCAUACAAUCAAUUCAAUACAAGAAAACAGCAAAGACAAUUCAAGACCUAAUUCCAGUUGUGCAAGAGGCAUUCCACGAAUAUUCUCCAAGGAAGGCAAACAGAAUAUAUUUAACACUUCAUCAAGUUUUGAAGGAAACAAUGAAAGUUCAUGGAUCAAACAAGUACAAACUUCCUCACAUGAAAAAGAGUACACUGGAAAGGAUAGGAUCACUGCCAUUACAAAUUCAUUGUGACGAAACAUUAGUAAACGACGCCAUAGAGAAGCUUGCUGCAUGGAACAAUUAGGAAUACUACUAGAAAUUGGUUCACUGAACCGAAUGUAAGACUUUUGUUUAACCUUGGUUCACCAUCAAUCUUAUGGCUUCAUUGCA